rnacentral:rRNA from 1 species
GUCCACGCCCUAAAACGAUGUCUACUAGUUGUCGGGUCUUAAUUGACUUGGUAACGCAGCUAACGCGUGAAGUAGACCGCCUGGGGAGUACGGUCGCAAGAUUAAAAACUCAAAGGAAUUGACGGGGACCCGCACAAGCGGUGGAUGAUGUGGAUUAAUUCGAUGCAACGCGAAAAACCUUUACCUACCCUUGACAUGGAUGGAAUCCUUGAGAGAUUAGGGAGUGCCCGAAAGGGAACCAUUACACAGGUGCUGCAUGGCUGUCGU